UUACCAGGUCUCGACAUCCCGAUGCUAUUUCUAGAGAUGAAAGUUACUUCGGUACAUCGGUGACAGGUGGUGCAUGGUUGUCGUCAGCUCGUGUCGUGAGAUGUUGGGUUAAGUCCCGCAACGAGCGCAACCCCUAUUGUUGGUUGCCAUCAUUCAGUUGGGCACUCUAGCGAGACUGCCGGUAAUAAACCGGAGGAAGGUGGGGAUGACGUCAAAUCAUCAUGCCCCUUAUGACCUGGGCUACACACGUGCUACAAUGGUUGGUACAACGAGUUGCGAGUCGGUGACGGCGAGCUAAUCUCUUAAAGCCAAUCUCAGUUCGGAUUGUAGGCUGCAACUCGCCUACAUGAAGUCGGAAUCGCUAGUAAUCGCGGAUCAGCACGCCGCGGUGAAUACGUUCCCGGGCCUU
rnacentral:rRNA from 1 species